GAUGAACGCUAGCGGCAGGCCUAAUACAUGCAAGUCGAGGGGCAGCGCGGUAGCAAUACUGGCGGCGACCGGCGCACGGGUGCGUAACACGUAUGCAACCUACCUUCAACUGGAGGAUAGCCCGGGGAAACUCGGAUUAAUACUCCAUAACACAGGGAUCCCGCAUGGGAAUAUUGUUAAAGCUACGGCGGUUGAAGAUGGGCAUGCGUUCGAUUAGCUAGUUGGUGUAGGUAACGGCUCACCAAGGCUACGAUCGAUAGGGGGUCUGAGAGGAUGAUCCCCCACACUGGUACUGAGAUACGGACCAGACUCCUACGGGAGGCAGCAGUAGGGAAUAUUGGUCAAUGGGCGCAAGCCUGAACCAGCCAAUGCCGCGUGCAGGAAGAAGGCCCUCUGGGUUGUAAAACUGCUUUUGUACGGGAAGAAAAAGCACUACGUGUAGUGUACUGACGGUACGUAAGAAUAAGGAUCGGCUAACUCCGUGCCAGCAGCCGCGGUAAU
rnacentral:rRNA from 1 species